CGAAAUCCAUAACAAUGUACGUGAGGGAAGAAUUUGAUAAUAGAUUCGUUUUAUCCCGAGACUUCAAUAGGACCCUCGUGACUGUAACGUUAGGCCUCGGGCUCAUUGAUUCAGCAUUCCUCAAUUGAUAUUCAAAUACCGUACUACAAAGCUAAAGAAAAGCUGCCAGCAGCCCAAAAGAGUGUUAUGAGGAGGCAGGCCCUGGGGAUUCAGUCACACAGUGUGUGAGCCCUAAAGACUUAAACCUUGGACAAAGAGCCAGCUCUACAGCAGCUACACUCCAAAAAUGACCAAGCAGUUAGUGGGGAUUCGGAACAGCCCAUUGCUGUUGUUCCUGCUGACUUCUUCCUCCUUCUCCUUCCCUGUGUUGCUGCACAUAAGUGGAAGUUCAAGUGGAAUCAGCCAGAAUUCAAACUGGCAGUUGGAUCAUCUGUGGAACUGAUAAAACAAAAUUAAAACCAAAAGCCACUUGCAAUUUUCACAUGUGGUUUUGGAAAAAAUGUGAUAAAAGCAUUCUCUGAUUUUGAAAUGUGGGACAUGUAAUUGAACAUUAAUACAUACUCUUCUUUGUGUAAGAUAAAAUUGUUUUUUGUAGCCGAUAACGAUUUAAA
rnacentral:lncRNA from 1 species